AGGUGCUGCAUGGCUGUCGUCAGCUCGUGUCGUGAGAUGGUUAGGGUUAACGUCCCGUAACGAGCGCCAACCCUUGUCCUUAGUUACCAGCACGUUAUGGGUGGGCACUCUAAGGAGACUGCCGGUGACAAACCGGAGGAAGGUGGGGAUGACGUCAAGUCAUCAUGGCCCUUACGGCCUGGGCUACACACGUGCUACAAUGGUCGGUACAAAGGGUUGCCAAGCCGCGAGGUGGAGCUAAUCCCAUAAAACCGAUCGUAGUCCGGAUCGCAGUCUGCAACUCGACUGCGUGAAGUCGGAAUCGCUAGUAAUCGUGAAUCAGAAUGUCACGGUGAAUACGUUCCCGGGCCUU
rnacentral:rRNA from 1 species